AGCAUAUCAAAACCUUAAAAGUCACCUUUACAUGCUCAGUGUAGCCUGGGCAAAAAGUUUUCAUGUAAAAGUAAAUCUACCUUGGAGUUAGUCCCCAAACUAGUCAAAGACAUCCUCAUCAUAAUCAUGACCAAACUCCUCUGACAGUCGUUUGAACUUGCAAUUUAUUGUAUGAAAAGGUCAAAAAUGGGGGGUAAGUGAAAUUUGUGACAUUUGCACUUUUUUCAGACCACGUGGCCUAAUGGAUAAGGCGUCUGACUUCGGAUCAGAAGAUUGAGGGUUCAAGUCCCUUCGUGGUUGAAACCCUGCCUUUAGUAGCAAAGAUAAUCCUUUCCCCACUAUACAUUUAGGGUUCACCUUGACUCCCUACUCCAUCAAAAUGGGCUAUGACCACCAAGACAUCCAGGCCGGUUAGCUCAGAUGGUCAGAGCGUGGUGCUAAUAACGCCAAGGUCAUGGGUUCAAUCCCCAUACUGGCCAAAGACUUCCCCAUCACAAUUGUAACGAAAGGACACUGAAAGAAAACACAAAGAACUAUCAGCAUAUCACAACCUUAAAAGUGACCUUUACAUGCUCAGUGUAGCCUGGGCAAAAAGUUUUCAUGUAAAAGUAAAUCUACCUUGGAGUGAGUCCCCAUACUAGUCAAAUAACAUCCUCAUCAUAAUCAUGACCAAACUCCUCUGCCAGUCGUUUGAACUUGCAAUUUUAUUGUAUGAAAAGGUCAAAAAUGUGGGAUAAGUGAAAUUUGUAAUUUGUCAUUUGCACUUUUUCAGACCACGUGGCCUAAUGGAUAAGGCGUCUGACUUCGGAUCAGAAGAUUGAGGGUUCAAGUCCCUUCGUGGUUGAAACCCUGCCUUUAGUAGCAAAGAUAAUCCUUUCCCACUAUACAUUUAGGGUUCACCUUGACUCCCUACUCCAUCAAAAUGGGCUAUGACCAGCAAGACAUCCAGACCGGUUAGCUCAGAUGGUCAGAGCGUGGUGCUAAUAACGCCAAGGUCAUGGGUUCAAUCCCCAUACUGGCCAAAGACUUCCUCAUCACAAUUUUAACUAAAGGACACUGAAAGAAAACACAAAGAACUAUCAGCAUAUCACAUCCUUAAAAGUCACCUUUACAUGCUCAGUGUAGCCUGUGCAAAAAGUUUUCAUGUAAAAGUAAAUCUACCUUGGAGUGAGUCCCCAAACUAGUCAAAGACAUCCUCAUCAUAAUCAUUACCAAACUCCUCUGCCAGUCGUUUGAACUUGCAUUUUAUUGUAUGAAAAGGUCAAAAAUGGGGGAUAAGUGAAAUUUGUGACAUUUGCACUUUUUUCAGACCACGUGGCCUAAUGGAUAAGGCGUCUGACUUUGGAUCAGAAGAUUGAGGGUUCAAGUCCCUUCGUGGUUGAAACCCUGCCUUUAGUAGCAAAGAUAAUCCUUUCCCACUAUACAUUUAGGGUUCACCUUGACUCCCUACUCCAUCAAAAUGGGCUAUGACCAGCAAGACAUCCAGGCCGGUUAGCUCAGAUGGUCAGAGCGUGGUGCUAAUAACGCCAAGGUCAUGGGUUCAAUCCCCAUACUGGCCAAAGACUUCCUCAUCACAAUUUUAACUAAAGGACACUGAAAGAAAACACAAAGAACUAUCAGCAUAUCACAUUCCUUAAAAGUGACCUUUACAUGCUCAGUGUAGCCUUUGCAAAAAGUUUUCAUGUAAAAGUAAAUCUACCUUGGAGUGAGUCCCCAAACUAGUCAAAGACAUCCUCAUCAUAAUCAUGACCAAACUCCUCUGCCAGUCGUUUGAACUUGCAAUUUAUUGUAUGAAAAGGUCAAAAAUGGGGAUAAGUGAAAUUUGUGUCAUUUGCACUUUUUUCAGACCACGUGGCCUAAUGGAUAAGGCGUCUGACUUCGGAUCAGAAGAUUGAGGGUUCAAGUCCCUUCGUGGUUGAAACCCCCUUUAGUAGCAAAGAUAAUCCUUUCCCACUAUACAUUUAGGGUUCACCUUGACUCCCUACUCCAUCAAAAUGGGCUAUGACCAGCAAGACAUCCAGGCCGGUUAGCUCAGAUGGUCAGAGCGUGGUGCUAAUAACGCCAAGGUCAUGGGUUCAAUCCCCAUACUGGCCAAAGACUUCCCCAUCACAAUUGUAACGAAAGCAGACUGAAAGAAAACACAAAGAACUAUCAGCAUAUCAAAACCUUAAAAGUCACCUUUACAUGCUCAGUGUAGCCUGUGCAAAAAGUUUUCAUGUAAAAGUAAAUCUACCUUGUAGUGAGUCCCCAAACUAGUCAAAGACAUCCUCAUCAUCAUCAUGGCCAAACUCCUCUGCCAGUCGUUUGAACUUGCAAUUUAUUGUAUGAAAAGGUCAAAAAUGGGGGAUAAGUGAAAUUUGGUUCAUUUGCACUUUUUUCAGACCACGUGGCCUAAUGGACAAGGCGUCUGACUUCGGAUCAGAAGAUUGAGGGUUCAAGUCCCUUCGUGGUUGAAACCCUGCCUUUAGUAGCAAAGAUAAUCCUUUCCCACUAUACAUUU